GACCGAUAGUGAACCAGUACCGUGAGGGAAAGGUGAAAAGCACCCCGGAAGGGGAGUGAAAUAGAACCUGAAACCGUGUGCUUACAAGUAGUCAGAGCCCGUUAAUGGGUGAUGGCGUGCCUUUUGUAGAAUGAACCGGCGAGUUACGAUUUGAUGCAAGGUUAAGCAGUAAAUGUGGAGCCGUAGCGAAAGCGAGUCUGAAUAGGGCGUUUAGUAUUUGGUCGUAGACCCGAAACCAGGUGAUCUACCCUUGGUCAGGUUGAAGUUCAGGUAACACUGAAUGGAGGACCGAACCGACUUACGUUGAAAAGUGAGCGGAUGAACUGAGGGUAGCGGAGAAAUUCCAAUCGAACCUGGAGAUAGCUGGUUCUCUCCGAAAUAGCUUUAGGGCUAGCCUCAAGUGAUGAUUAUUGGAGGUAGAGCACUGUUUGGACGAGGGGCCCCUCUCGGGUUACCGAAUUCAGACAAACUCCGAAUGCCAAUUAAUUUAACUUGGGAGUCAGAACAUGGGUGAUAAGGUCCGUGUUCGAAAGGGAAACAGCCCAGACCACCAGCUAAGGUCCCAAAAUAUAUGUUAAGUGGAAAAGGAUGUGGCGUUGCCCAGACAACUAGGAUGUUGGCUUAGAAGCAGCCAUCAUUUAAAGAGUGCGUAAUAGCUCACUAGUCGAGUGACACUGCGCCGAAAAUGUACCGGGGCUAAACAUAUUACCGAAGCUGUGGAUUGUCCUUUGGACAAUGGUAGGAGAGCGUUCUAAGGGCGUUGAAGCAUGAUCGUAAGGACAUGUGGAGCGCUUAGAAGUGAGAAUGCCGGUGUGAGUAGCGAAAGACGGGUGAGAAUCCCGUCCACCGAUUGACUAAGGUUUCCAGAGGAAGGCUCGUCCGCUCUGGGUUAGUCGGGUCCUAAGCUGAGGCCGACAGGCGUAGGCGAUGGAUAACAGGUUGAUAUUCCUGUACCACCUAUA
rnacentral:rRNA from 1 species